GCAUGAAUCACAGCUCAAUAAGCCAGCCACUGACCAUAGACCGGAUGUGCAAACUUUCUGAAAAGUUGGUGGCUGUGUGUGUGGAGUAUUUGAGUGACAUUACAUUUACACAUUCUCACCCUUGGGGGACCCUUUUGAAGGACAAAUAAAAGACUCACAUGCCUUGUUCCGGCCAAAGCAGACAAAAAAACCUCAGUGAUGUCUUAUCAUUCCGCAUGCCAAAAUUUCACCUUUCUAACCAAAAAGCUGCCAACAUCCGGCACUGAUAUUAAUCAUCUCAAGUAACUUCACGAAUCUUUACGUUGGGGGAGACCAUGGCAUUUGCAGGUGUCUUUGACAAGUUACUCUUUGCAUUUCCAGCAGCUUGUCCAACAGAGCUUUUGGCAUUUGUCAUCUCAGUUGCCAAAAUCGACUUCUUUAUUGCUGCGAGACGUUCCUUGUGGAUAUCACUUGUAAGCGGUUUUCGAUAGGUUUUAAUCUCAUCACCACUAAAUCCUGGGAGGGUCAUAUUCCAAUUUCUUUCAAGAUGUAGAAGUAUGUCUUUUGCUUCCAAUGUAUCAGAUUUUCGAUGUUUGGCUAAGGAGCAGCCAAAUGUUGUGAUAGAAUCAACAAAUUCAUCAGCUAUAUCUGCAAGAAUGUCUUCAACUUCAGGAUCCAAUUUCUCAGAAGGGUCGAUCUGGCUAACUAGCUCAUUGAUACUUCUUUUGCUAAGAAUCCGGUUACCAGAUUCUUCACUUUCUGCAUUAGCUGUCCUAUUCUGGGUGCCUGGCUGUACAGUAUUAGGCUGUACCAUUGGCAAGGAAAGUGGCUUUGGGUUUGCUGAACCUUGAAGGCCAAGCUGUUGUGUUAUGGACCGUGGAACCCUUGACGGUGGAAAUUGUUGUCCAUAAUGAUCCGAUGGUUGAUGGGAUGGUAAAGGUUGCUGCGGUUGUGCAGAUGACAUGUGCUGUUGCUGUGAAGUAGUUGGCAGGGAAUGAUGUUGCUGAGGAAUAUGUGACCUUUGUUGCAAAGAUGGUGCGUUUAUCUGUGGUCUAUAUGAAGCGGAAGGCAAUGGAGGCUUGCCUUGAGAUCCAGAUGACAACCAUGGCUGACUAGGGGACUGCAUACUUUGCGAUGCACUUGGUGCUGGAGAACUAGGAGGACCUACAGAAGACGGUCUCAUAAAACCAUGCCCUUGGAAAUUUUGGGUGGCAGGAGACUGGUUAUUUGGGGAAGAAGAGGAAGGUCUAAUAGAUGAUUGAACAGGUCUCUGUUGAUGAUGUCCAGAAAUCCCACCUGACCGAAUUUGAGAACCCGAACUCACUGAUCCCACCAUUCCCAUUCCCUGCACUCCCUGCAUCCCCUGCCUAGCCU
rnacentral:misc_RNA from 1 species